rnacentral:rRNA from 1 species
GACGUUACUCGCAGAAAUAAGCACCGGCUAACUCUGUGCCAGCAGCCGCGNUAAUACAGAGGGUGCGAGCGUUAAUCGGAUUUACUGGGCGUAAAGCGUACGUAGGCGGCUUUUUAAGUCGGAUGUGAAAUCCCUGAGCUCUAACUUAGGAAUUGCAUUCGAUACUGGGAAGCUAGAGUAUGGGAGAGGAUGGUAGAAUACCAGGUGUAGCGGUGAAAUGCGUAGAGAUCUGGAGGAAUACCGAUGGCGAAGCGCAGCCAUCUGGCCUAAUACUGACGCUGAGGUACGAAAGCAUGGGGAGCAAACAGGAUUAGAUACCCUGGUAGUCCAUGCCGUAAACGAUGUCUACUAGCCGUUGGGGCCUUUGAGCUUUAGUGGCGCAUAUAACGCGAUAAGUAGA